rnacentral:rRNA from 1 species
UGGGGAAUAUUGCACAAUGGGGGAAACCCUGAUGCAGCAACGCCGCGUGAGUGAUGAAGGUUUUCGGAUCGUAAAGCUCUGUCUUUGGGGAAGAUAAUGACGGUACCCAAGGAGGAAGCCACGGCUAACUACGUGCCAGCAGCCGCGGUAAUACGUAGGUGGCGAGCGUUAUCCGGAUUUACUGGGCGUAAAGGGAGCGUAGGCGGGCGAUUAAGUGGGAGGUGAAAUACCCGGGCUCAACUUGGGUGCUGCAUUCCAAACUGGUUAUCUAGAGUGCAGGAGAGGAGAGUGGAAUUCCGAGUGUCGCGGUGAAAUGCGUAGAGAUUAGGAAGAACACCAGUGGCGAAGGCGACUCUCUGGACUGUAACUGACGCUGAGGCUCGAAAGCGUGGGGAGCAAACA